AUUGAACGCUGGCGGCAGGCCUAACACAUGCAAGUCGAACGGUAACAGGAAGCAGCUUGCUGCUUUGCUGACGAGUGGCGGACGGGUGAGCAAUGUCUGGGAAACUGCCCGAUGGAGGGGGAUAACUACUGGAAACGGUAGCUAAUACCGCAUAACGUCGCAAGACCAAAGAGGGGGACCUUAGGGCCUCUUGCCAUCGGAUGUGCCCAGAUGGGAUUAGCUAGUAGGUGGGGUAACGGCUCACCUAGGCGACGAUCCCUAGCUGGUCUGAGAGGAUGACCAGCCACCCUGGAACGGAGACACGGUCCAGACGACUACGGGAGGCAGCAGUGGGGAAUAUUGCACAAUGGGCGCGAGCCUGAUGCAGCCAUGCCGCGUGUAUGAAGAAGGCCUUCGGGUUGUAAAGUACUUUCAGCGGGGAGGAAGGGAGUAAAGUUAAUACCUUUGCUCAUUGACGUUACCCGCAGAAGAAGCACCGGCUAACUACGUG
rnacentral:rRNA from 1 species